AGUCGAGGGGUAGAGUUCUUCGGAGCUUGAGACCGGCGCACGGGUGCGUAACGCGUAUGCAAUCUACCUUUUACAGAGGGAUAGCCCAGAGAAAUUUGGAUUAAUACCUCAUAGUAUAAUUGAAUGGCAUCAUUUAAUUAUUAAAGUCACAACGGUAAAAGAUGAGCAUGCGUCCCAUUAGCUAGUUGGUAAGGUAACGGCUUACCAAGGCUACGAUGGGUAGGGGUCCUGAGAGGGAGAUCCCCCACACUGGUACUGAGACACGGACCAGACUCCUACGGGAGGCAGCAGUGAGGAAUAUUGGACAAUGGGCGCAAGCCUGAUCCAGCCAUGCCGCGUGCAGGAUGACGGUCCUAUGGAUUGUAAACUGCUUUUGUACAGGAAGAAACACUGGUUCGUGAACCAGCUUGACGGUACUGUAAGAAUAAGGAUCGGCUAACUCCGUGCCAGCAGCCGCGGUAAUACGGAGGAUCCAAGCGUUAUCCGGAAUCAUUGGGUUUAAAGGGUCCGUAGGCGGUUUGGUAAGUCAGUGGUGAAAGCCCAUCGCUCAACGGUGGAACGGCCAUUGAUACUGCUAGACUUGAAUUAUUAGGAAGUAACUAGAAUAUGUAGUGUAGCGGUGAAAUGCUUAGAGAUUACAUGGAAUACCAAUUGCGAAGGCAGGUUACUACUAAUAUAUUGACGCUGAUGGACGAAAGCGUGGGUAGCGAACAGGAUUAGAUACCCUGGUAGUCCACGCCGUAAACGAUGGAUACUAGCUGUUGGGCGCAAGUUCAGUGGCUAAGCGAAAG
rnacentral:rRNA from 1 species